GACGAACGCUGGCGGCGUGCUUAACACAUGCCAGUCGUACGGUAAGGCCCUUUCGGGGGUACACGAGUGGCGAACGGGUGCGUAACACGUGAGUAACCUGCCCACAACUUUGGGAUAACGCUAGGAAACUGGUGCUAAUACUGGAUAUGUGCUCCUGCUGCAUGGUGGGGGUUGGAAAGCUCCGGCGGUUGUGGAUGGACUCGCGGCCUAUCAGCUUGUUGGUGGGGUAGUGGCCUACCAAGGCGGCGACGGGUAGCCGGCCUGAGAGGGUGACCGGCCACAUUGGGACUGAGAUACGGCCCAGACACCUACGGGAGGCAGCAGUGGGGAAUAUUGCACAAUGGGCGCAAGCCUGAUGCAGCAACGCCGCGGGCGGGAUGACGGCCUUCGGGUUGUAAACCGCUUUCAGCAGGGACGAAGCUUUUUGUGACGGUACCUGCAGAAGAAGCACCGGCUAACUACGUG
rnacentral:rRNA from 1 species